GACGGAGGAUGCAAGUGUUAUCCGGAAUCACUGGGCGUAAAGCGUCUGUAGGUGGUUCAAUAAGUCAACUGUUAAAUCUUGAGGCUCAACUUCAAAAAUCGCAGUCGAAACUAUUGGACUCGAGUAUAGUAGGGGGUAAAGGGAAUUUCCAGUGGAGCGGUGAAAUGCGUAGGGAUUGGAAAGAACACCGAUGGCGAAGGCACUUUACUGGGCUAUUACUAACACUGAGAGACGAAAGCUAGGGUAGUAAAUGGGG
rnacentral:rRNA from 1 species